rnacentral:snoRNA from 13 species
GUCGACGUACUUCAUAGGAUCAUUUCUAUAGGACACGUCCCUUUGACUCUUUUAAAAAAGAGCCACUGUUUCCAACUUGGUUGAUGAGGUAGAUACCCUUGUGCCCAAGAGUGAGAAGUUUACUAGUUUGUCCGGAUCCUUAGCGGUCUGGUCAUCUAUCACUUUUUUGCCUUUAGUUUGUGGGAGUUACUUGUAACUCUCCUUAAAGGAGCGAUGAUCUUGACCCUUUGUUGUGUACUCUUUAGGGAGGGACUCUUAGGGUGGGUGCAAGAGGCAGUCUGACAAGU